rnacentral:rRNA from 1 species
CCUACGGGAGGCUGCAGUGAGGAAUAUUGGUCAAUGGGCGAGAGCCUGAACCAGCCAAGUCGCGUGAGGGACGACGGUCCUAUGGAUUGUAAACCUCUUUUGUCAGGGAACAAAGGCGCCCACGGGUGGGCGGAUGAGUGUACCUGAAUAAAAAGCAUCGGCUAACUCCGUGCCAGCAGCCGCGGUAAUCUGGAGGAUGCAAUCGUUAUCCGGAUUUAUUGGGUUUAAAGGGUGCGUCGGCGGACAGUUAAGGCAGCGGUAAAAAUGCGGUGCUCAACGCCGUACAGCCGUUGAAACUGGCAGUCUUGAGGGGGCGAGAAGUAUGCGGAAUGCGGGGUGUAGCGGUGAAAUGCAGAGAUAUCACGCAGAACUCCGAUUGCGAAGGCAGCAUACCGGCGCCCUACUGACGCUGAGGCACGAAAGCGUGGGUAUCGAACAGGAUUAGAUACCCUAGUAGUC